GCCACCAUAGCUCAGUUGGAAGAGCAACUGAUUCGUAAUCAGUAGGUCGUGGGUUCAAAUCCCGCUGGUGGCUCCA
rnacentral:tRNA from 1 species